GCAGGAGGGGGAGUGGUCAGCGGGGGAUGGGGGCGGGCGCGGCGGCUUCAGCCCUCCCUCCCCACCCUCGACGCGCUCCUCUUAUAAGCUCGGGGCAGCCAGGUUCCUGCGUCGGGGUUGUGUGAGUGUGCGUUCGAGUGUGAGCGUGAGUGGCCGUGGCCGCCGCUGCCACCCGGAGUGCUCCCGGGGCUCGGCUGCUCCGCGCGUCCGCCCGGGGCUCACGGGGGCCCGGGGCGGCUGCUGGUUGGCUCGCGCGCCGCCCUCGCCUCCAAUCCCCGGUGCCUGCCCUAAUUUCCUGAUCCAGGGAACCUGCCGCCGCAGCAGCUGUGCGCUCCCUACAGUCAUUACUGUACCUUCCCGGCAGCCGCCAACCGUAAAUGCAGCAGCAGCAGCAGCAGUGGCAGCAGCAGCAGUUAGCACUGAUGCAACUACUGAGGCUAUUGCCACCGCCUUCCCAGUAACGCGGCUUACAGCCCGGAGGGGGGGACUUGCAGUUUCCAGGGGCAACAAGCGUCUCUCUACCACCUUCUCCUGCGCCUCAAAGAGGGCUGGUCCUGUGAGGCUGGGACGAAGAUGAUUCAAAGCUGAGCUGAAACUGCUGCAAGAACCAGUCUCCUUUGGGUCACUCUGUUAGGGUGACCUAGGCUCUCUUACCAAGUCCAAGACUACAACAUUUGUGAUUUUUAUCUCCAUGAAACUGCUAAAAGUGCUGCGUAGCCCUUUGGCUGCCUCUUCCUGAAUUGGAAAGGUACAGUCUUGACAAGGAACAAAUGACGUCUGUAUAUGAAGAAAUGACAGAUGACCAUGUGUUAACUGUCAGCCUUGAUGGAUUUACACAAGAAGGCCAAAGCAACUCAAGGAAGGGAGACACCCCGGGAAUCCUCAGGACCUUUCGGUGGAGGGAACCUGGCAGCAGGGGUUCCUGGGGAUCAUAUCUGGCACUGGCGAUGAUUGGCUCCACCAGUCAGUGAGGAAGGGGUCCUACUGACCACAGCCCCCCAACCAGCUUCAGUGAAAAGACGGAGACUGAGGUGAUGGAGCCCUGGUUCCUCAUGCACAGACAAUUAUGGUACUUAAUUUGGAACUGUGGGAAGCUUUGGUUCAUGCACCUGAAAAGCUGACCCGGAAGUUAUGCUUAGAGAAGAAAAAGAGGGAAGAGCCUCUUAGGUAACUUGAAGAGCAUCAAGGAUCCAAUGAUAAAAACCACUGCCCUGAAGUGACGUGUGCUACUUUCAGCUGAGGGUUCAACUGCUGACAUGACACCCUCGAGAUCUCUCUUUUUCUCCUCUGCCAUCACAUCCCAAAAUUCUCCGGAGUGGAUGCUUCAUCAGCGUGGGUUUGGAGCUAAGAUGAUGAUGAUACUGAGGAGAGCCUGGGGCAGACUCACUAUGAAAAAUAAACUUUUAUUGUUUUAAGCCACUGAAGAAAACAGAAAACACUGCCCUGAACUUUCCAAGGUGUAAUAAAUCUCUCUGCAUAAGACUCUGCAGUCAUUGCCAAGGCAGAUCCUGAACUGAGAGCCACGUGGAAAGAGGACUGGAAUGGAAAUCAGAUUCGGGGUCCUGCUUGGGUUUCUUCCAGAUGACCCCACCCGUCAGCCAUCUGGUCUCAGAUUCCACAUAUGAGUGAGAUCAUAUGAUAUUCAUCAUUCUGUGUCUGACUUUCUGCAACAUGGAUUGACCUAGAGAUUAUCAUACUAAGUGAAGUAAGUCAAGGUUUCUUGAUAAGUUAUUUUGCUCAUCUGAAAAAGCCUUGACAUGCUAGAAAUUUUCUUAGACAUUCCCUUAAUUUCAUUCUCUUUGAUUUCUACAGGGGGAAUACAUGGCUUUCUCCUCACUUCUUUGCAUUUUUCCAGUGCCUUUGAAAGUACCACCAGAAUGAUGGCUGCAUUUUCAGUGGUGGAAAUUAUUGCUAUGUCUCAGAAGCAAGGAAUCACAGGAUGUCUACUUUCCAGUGGUGAUAUAUGACUCUCAUAAAUGAAAGCCACACCAUCAUUUAUAACACCCUAAUGAGUUUUUUUCAUAGAGACAGAACAGAGAUUCCUAAUGUUUCUUGGAACUUCCCAAAAAACAGGGCAAGAAAAAGAAAUUCAACUAAAUGCCUGUUUGUUAGCCCAGCAUUGGAAGGGAGCAGCCUUAAAGAAUAAUUGGUCGCUCCUAAGAAAACAUUAAUAUAACAAAAGCUGUCAAAAGAUAUGAAGGAAGAAAGGAUGGUACUUUUUGAUUAUGAGGUGGGGUGACUGGCGGGCGGAAGGUGGAAUCAUCUGAAGGGCACUCACUCGCGUGUCUGGUGGUUGAUGCUGACCGUUGGCUGGGACCAACGUGGGGCCGUGGCUGGAACACCUACGUGUGGUCCUUCAUACGGCUGCUCAUCUUCCCCACAGUAUGGUGGCUGGGUUCCAAAGGUGGUCGCAAAGCAUUGCCCAGGUGCCGAGAGAGGAAAACUGGACUCUCUCUCUUGAUGGACUCAAGACAACCAUAAGACAUUUCGUUUUAGCUCAGUCAACAUUUUAUUCUUCAGAAAUUUGUUAAAGACUUGAAACUUUUUCCAGUCUGUUCUCUCCCACCACUACAGCGCCAAAGUAACAAAAGGAGCAAGGCUCCUCUAGCUGGAACUCAUGAAGUAAAUGAAGAACUACAAACAAUUUAUUAUGGUUAGAGGAUAUGAAUGGGGCAUGCCUCGUAAAAGUGGAAAUUUUUGUAUAGAGCCACAAAGGAUACCUAAGAUUUCUACAGAUAGAGGAAACAGAAUAAACAAAGGCACAGAUGCUUGAACUUGCCUGGCACAUUCAAGGAUGUAGAAUCAAGGAAGUGUGGAAAGUGCAUGCGAGGAUGGAUGACUUUCUUUGAUUUUGCCAAAAGGAGAGAAUGAGAACUUGAUAAAUAAGGCAGAAGAAGAAUUGCUUUGACUGGAGAUUUCGAAACCAUCUCUCCUCUUCCCCUGCAUUUUGAAUGGGGCUCCGUGAACAUCUGAAAGCUGGAAGUUAUUACAGAAGAUUGAGCAGAGUCCCCUGUGCUGUACAGCAGUGUGUAUAUGCUCUGCCCCUCUGUCUCCUGCAUACCCACUGCCACUGUCCAGACUUCCCGCAUCCUUCUCCAGGACACUUCAGUAGGGAGAAGAGAGGAUGGAGCAAUGUCCUCAAGCUGAUGGGAGGCCAAGUGUAUGGGUUGGAAGAGUUGACCAUGAGUACCUCUAAUCCUCCAAGACCAUAGGGAAAGAUCCAAGAAUGGGAGCAGAGGUAGGUAAACUUGGAGGUGGGAACACCACAGGAUGGUACAGUUCAAGCCAGAUGGCUUCAGUUUUUGUUGAAGUAGGUUACAAAGGCACAUCUGCUGGUAGUAAGGACAUUGAGACUGGGGAAAGGGCUGAGGGAAAAUGGUAGCUUGGGAACAUCAGAGAAGUAAGUAGAAGGAGAAAUAUCACUGAUGGCAGGGGAGCGCAUUGGGUUUGAGAUACCUCUGGUUUUCAUGGUUGUGUUUUUUUCCACCUGCAAGCAGAAGCCCAGGAACAGAGGCAGAAAAUAACAGCAAACAUUUACUGAGCAUUUCCUAUGUACCUGAAACUUAUCUUAGCAUCUCUACAUAUUGUGGUAAGCAGAAUAAUGACCUAGUAAUGGCCACAUCCUAAUCUCCGGAAUCUGUGAAUUGCUACAUUAUAUGGCAAAGGGGAGUUAAGGUUACAGAUGGAAUGCAGGUUGCGGAUCAGCCAACUGCGAAACAGGGAGAUCAUCCUAGAUUAUAUGGGUUAUGUGGGCCCAAUAUAAUAAGGGUCCAAGAAGUAGAAGAUGGAAGCGCAAGAGAAGAUCAGAGUGAUACGAAGUGAGAAGGACUUAACCUGCCAUUGCUGGUUUUGAAGAAGGAGGCAGGGGCCCUGAGUCAAGGAAUGUGGGUGGCCUCUAAAAUCUAGAAAAGGCAAGGAAACGGAUCCUACCCUCUAGCCUCUAAAAGGACUGCAGCCCUGCUGACAACUUGAUUUUAACCCCUGAGGCUCUGCCAGACUUCUGAUCUACAGAAAUGUAAAACAGUAAAUUGUAUUCUUGAAUUUUUUAAAUGUGUGGUAACUGGCUACAGCAGCAAUAUAAAACUAAAACCUAUAUAUGUUUUCUUUUAUCCUUCACAACAUUAUUUUAUAGUUGGGCCGUUUGGGGAGUUGAUCCUGGUUAUUGACCUGGAUGUCAUGAAGGAGGUGGAGACAAAUCUUGAGAAAGAAAUGUUUCCAACUUGCAAGGCGUCUGCCUCAAGGGAAGCCUUUGUAGUAUUUUUAGGCAAGGAAUAAUGGACCACUUCUGAAGGCCCAGAGGGUUCAAGGGAUUCUGAGGACCCAGAGCACUCAAUUCUUCCAUCUAGAUGUCCCCAUUCUAUGCCCCAGUAUCCCAUGCGUUCCCUAUCAAACCUUGACUUUGGCGUAUGAGAUUUGGUGGGGCUACAUAUUACGGCUUCUCUGUAAUUUGUUUUUCACAGUCAGGUCCUGGGCCUGAUUUUCAGCCCAAUCUGCCUUCUGUCUGUGGUAGUGCAGGAUCUCUUUAAGUCCGUGAGAGAGGCCUCUUGAGUUGCACAUUAUGCCCUGAAUAAGUGGUUGGUUUGGUUGAGCCUGCCAACUCCACAGCCCUUAUAGUUACCACUGGACUUUAUCUCUCAAGUAUUAGCAAGUUUGCAAAUGCCAGUAUCUCAUUUCACCUGGCCUCAGGUGAGAUGCUUAGUAAUUGUGAUAUUACACAGCAUACUCACCUUAAAUGUCACUUCACCUAAAACCUAGGGAGUCCUUCCUUGACUCUUCAGUCUAAAACCUCAUAAAAUUCACCAUCCCUACACACUAUUUCUUUUAUAAUAUGCAUAACACUGUAUUUUAUUUUUGUGUCUAAAAUUUAUUGUUUGUACAUCCAGAUAUAAUGAGACCUUUUAAAAUGCAGUGCUGGUUCAAGGCUUGGCACAAAAUGGACUCAAUAAAUA